ACUCUGGAAUAUUUUGCAUUUCAACCGAUAUUGGUGCAAAUACUGAUUCUAUAAGUCACAUCUUUGCAGAAGAAACUGGCAGCCUGGAAGAAAUUGGCGGUGGUGAUUGGUGUGAAUUUAGAAAUUGAGGCAGGUGUUUCCCACAAUGUACUUGACGAAAGAACUUGAAGGCACUGUAAGCCAAUGCUAUCUGGAAUUUUGCUAGAAAUGUCUUUCAGACAGUCAUAAACGUUGAGAAAAAAGAAGAACCUGAACUCAAAAUAGAACCAGAAGAACCAUAUAGCAUAUACUACCGGUUGAACUCUCCAAGACCCACGUGCUCAAAGACUACAUGUAUUAUUAUGGCAUGCUCUUGUUCAUUUACGACUAAUGGUUUUGGUGGAGUCAUCAAAUUGGGCAUUGGAAAGCUAGCUGCAAAGAUUUGUAAACUAGUACACGAGCAAUCCACUUCCGGUCGGUAAGAACCAGGCGUCCUAGAAGAGACACUAUAAAUGUAAAUGUCGUUCAAGUUUUCCAUUACCAAACCUUUAUCGGCUUCAUUAUCUCAAAGGACAAAGGCAUAGAGGAAUAGGAAACAUUUUCAUUUCUUUCCCAAUCCAAAGCUAAUGAGCAAAUUUUUCUUUCUAACUAAUCCGGAAACACAAAAUGAUGAAAUUCGUCUUUACGGUCAACUAGUUCGACCGUAUCAUGAGUGAACCAUCUAGCCUGAUGUCAUUCAAGAUUUCCAUCACGGUCCCAAGAAUAAUUCCCCGGCUUGGAUUUUCUCAUUGGCCUGACCUCUCUUAAAGAGUCUCUCGUUUUUCCGCACAAACGGCUUUGUGUUGCUACAGAAAGGGUGUUGUUUCUCCGUAAUGAAAGUUAAAAGGGAGACUAGCCUAUAAUUUCCACAUCGCCUGAAACUGCUGUCCAUUUUGCUAGUCUUCGUUAUAGAAGAAAUUCUGCCAUCUCUUCAUCGAUGAGAGACUUGCUGUAACGUUUUGUCAGAAACACUACAGUUAAAGUAAUAAUGAAUGCUAGGUUUUAGCGAACUUAAAUGCGUUGUUCAAGUUUUGUGAGUAGACCAGUCCUGCAAUCAAAUACUGAGUUUUGAGACGUGUCAAAUAGAUGGCGUGUUGAUUGUAUCAGUAAUCGGCUAUGGCGGUUUGCUGUCAAAAGUUAAGCUUUCUUUUCUUCGAAAAUUAAUAAUGAAUUCAUAGUAGGAAACGUGUAAGGGUCGUGCAGCCUAUUGUCAAAGUUCUAUUUUGUUCAAAAUAAUUGUAUUCUACUGAAUGUGCCAUCGAAAUUAUGCAGGUGUCAUCAUAAUUAUCUGCUGUUUGUAUUGGACUUGCUAGAUCAACAACCUCAGCAUAGACCAAUCUCUCAUUCCAUCAUUCUAGAUAAACUUGGAUAACUGAUGGGUGGUUUCAUGUGUUCUAAAUUAGAGGUUUCUAAAUUGGCAUGACCAACUUUAUGAGAAGUCAUGUCCUUUCAAGAAAAGGACAAGGACUAUACAGUCCUUCCUUGUUUGCUAACCUGUUGGCUGCAACCCUUGAAUCUCCCUUAUUUACUUCCUUACACGGGCCCUCAUGAUUUGAGGUAAUACUUACUGUCGCUACAAUCUUGU